GUGCAGAGGGGUCAGUCCGAAGCUUAGUGUCCAUUUCGUCACUUCGUCUCUAGGCACCUUCUCUUCCCCGCUCCGCGCCCCCCCCCCCCCCGGAACUCACUUCCCCGGCUGCUCAUUGGACACAGUCGCAUGGCACCUGCUCCCCUUCUGUCACGUGAUGAGCUGCUCUCUCUCCACACGUGAUGCCGUAGCCUUUCCUUCCACCCGUCCCUUCUUGGUCCUUCAACCAUGCAGAUCCCCGGCCCUGGCUUCCCAACCCGAGUGACCUGCCACCGUGCAGACAGAGCGCUCUUUAGAUUAAGCUCACUGCGGAUUUGUGGUCUGCUUCGAAGGGGCUCUCGGUAGUACUUGGCGAUCCCCUCUCAUCCUGGCCAUCUUGCCCUUUGUCCCCACCUUUGCUAGACCCCUUGUCUCCUGUCCAGUAGAAGACAGGGGAGAACGUGCCACGCCCAGGAAACCACCUCUCCUCCCCUGCCCUUCUCCAACCCGUGAAGUGACUUACCUCCACGCUCGCUCGUCCUCUACCCUUCUCUUGCAGUCUUGGAAGAAGGGAGGUCUUUCUUCCUGUCUGCAACCAAGCCCUCCCUCCCACCUUGGACUCACCCCUCGAGUCUUCAGACUCGCGCCACCGAUCACCCUGGAAGUUCCACUUUGUUCGCCCUACACUCUGCAAUCCCCCCGGACGCCUAGGCUCCUUGUGAGGCUGUCAGUACUUUUCAUCCACAGCGUCCCGCCUCUAAAUCUUCAGCCGACUGACUUUGCCCCGUCUCAGGCGAGGAUGAAUUCACCUGGGGUGCUGGGGCCUCCUCCCUUGGGAGCACCGCUCCCCCCACAUCUCCACUGUGUCGGCUCACCGGUGUUGGUGUCCCACACCCGCUGGUUGCCGAAGCCAGAAACCAAGGAAUCCUCUCAGCUGGCCCCACUGUCCCAGCACGCCACAUUUCUUCUGCCGGGAAGUGCAACGUGGAACCAGUCCUGUGGCCCGGGCCACCAGCCCUUGCCUCCUUUCUGACCUUUGGAAAUCUUAAAUGCCAAACCAUUGCUCAUGGGAGAAACUAGGAAGGCAAAGGCCAUCUUGUCUGCUCACUAUGACUUAAUUUUCUGGAAGAUUCAAGGUCAUCGUUGGCAAUCAAUUGCUGAAUAAGUGUGCUGUGCUCUUAGAGGCACUUCCUGGCUCAUUUCCUGGUCCGUGGUUGCCUUUGCUGUGAGCACUUGAUUGUCCUUGUACCUGAAGUUCACAGUCCUACUUAGUAUAUACGCUUCUAACCUGCUCUGGUCUGAGAAGUUCGAGGUUCUUGAAAGGAAUGUAAAGACAAGUCAGCAAGUCCCCAGUGAGUGAGGUUUCUCCCAUAGAGUUAAUCCUUUGGCUCUCUGUUAGCUAUUUCACUUGGCAUGGAGGCCAUUUGUUCCUGAUCUGUACUUUGUCCGUGUUCCUGAAUUGCUGACUUUUAAAUAGGAACUGAUUUUUAUUUAUGUGAUACCUUUCCUAUUAUCACAUUUAAAUUUCUUGUGAAAAAUUAAAAGUACAUUGGUAGCAUAUAUUCAUUUUAGAUUUUCUACUUUGGGAUAUGGUCUUUCUCCCACUUCUAGGCUUAAUUCAUGCCAAGGAAACCCUCAUCAGGUGAAUGUAAUUAUCAUAGAUUCGAUGCAGAAAACUUCUUUGUGAUUUUGAGCCCCCAAGUUAGCAACCAUUAUAAUAAAACUACAUCAGGUCUGC